CGCACAUUGCGCCCGCCGGCAAUCCGGCGGGCAUGCCUGUUCGAGCGUCAUUUCACCACUCAACCCCCCGGGCUGGUGUUGGGGCGUCCGCCUAACCGCGGAGGCCCUCAAAUUCAUAGGCGGUCCCGACGGGCCCCGAACGCAGUAAUUCUUCUCGUUCGGCGGUCCCGGCGGCGUCCUGCCCCUAAACCUCCUUCUAAGGUUGACCUCGGAUCAGGUAGGAAUACCCGCUGAACUUAA
rnacentral:misc_RNA from 1 species